UANUGCAGUCGAACGAACUCUGGUAUUGAUUGGUGCUUGCAUCAUGAUUUACAUUUGAGUGAGUGGCGAACUGGUGAGUAACACGUGGGAAACCUGCCCAGAAGCGGGGGAUAACACCUGGAAACAGAUGCUAAUACCGCAUAACAACUUGGACCGCAUGGUCCGAGUUUGAAAGAUGGCUUCGGCUAUCACUUUUGGAUGGUCCCGCGGCGUAUUAGCUAGAUGGUGGGGUAACGGCUCACCAUGGCAAUGAUACGUAGCCGACCUGAGAGGGUAAUCGGCCACAUUGGGACUGAGACACGGCCCAAACUCCUACGGGAGGCAGCAGUAGGGAAUCUUCCACAAUGGACGAAAGUCUGAUGGAGCAACGCCGCGUGAGUGAAGAAGGGUUUCGGCUCGUAAAACUCUGUUGUUAAAGAAGAACAUAUCUGAGAGUAACUGUUCAGGUAUUGACGGUAUUUAACCAGAAAGCCACGGCUAACUACGUGCCAGCAGCCGCGGUAAUACGUAGGUGGCAAGCGUUGUCCGGAUUUAUUGGGCGUAAAGCGAGCGCAGGCGGUUUUUUAAGUCUGAUGUGAAAGCCUUCGGCUCAACCGAAGAAGUGCAUCGGAAACUGGGAAACUUGAGUGCAGAAGAGGACAGUGGAACUCCAUGUGUAGCGGUGAAAUGCGUAGAUAUAUGGAAGAACACCAGUGGCGAAGGCGGCUGUCUGGUCUGUAACUGACGCUGAGGCUCGAAAGUAUGGGUAGCAAACAGGAUUAGAUACCCUGGUAGUCCAUACCGUAAACGAUGAAUGCUAAGUGUUGGAGGGUUUCCGCCCUUCAGUGCUGCAGCUAACGCAUUAAGCAUUCCGCCUGGGGAGUACGGCCGCAAGGCUGAAACUCAAAGGAAUUGACGGGGGCCCGCACAAGCGGUGGAACCAUGUGGUUUAAUUCAAAGCUACGCGAAGAACCUUACCAGGUCUUGACAUACUAUGCAGAUCUGAGAGAUUAGACAUUCC
rnacentral:rRNA from 1 species